rnacentral:lncRNA from 1 species
GUUGUGGUGUGUUGGGAGACAGAGAGGUGUUGGGAGACAGAGAGAGAUGUUGUGUUGUGUUGGGAGAAAGAGAGAGGUGUUGUGGUGUGUUGGGAGAAAGAGAGAGGUGUUGUGGUGUGUUGGGAGACGGAUAGAGGUGUUGUGGUGUGUUGGGAGAAAGAGAGAGGUGUUGUGGUGUGUUGGGAGACGGAUAGAGGUGUUGUGGUGUGUUGGGAGAAAGAGAGAGGUGUUGUGGUGUGUUG